GUCUGCUUUUCUCCCCGAAACCACUCGCGCCUCUCCUUGCCCUAACCUCUGCGCCGUUACUAGCCGUCUCCUCCUCUUCUCCGAGCCCGAUCUUCCUCCUCAUCCAUGCCGAGCCGUGCGCCGAUCACCGGCCACAGGAAUCCAGCGCCGUCGCCGUGCCCUAGCGCCCCCGACGCCCUCUUUCUCUCCUCUGGCCGACGCGACGCCGACCCUGAUCUCCGGCAUCUGAGCUCUAGCGCUGUUGUUGUCGCCACAGCCGAGACUCCCCUCUGCCCCUAGCAUCGACGCCCCACUCCCGACGCCACAGUCGUCGCGGCCGAUCACUAGCCACCCGAGCUCUCAUUUCCGGCCGAUUUCCUAUGCCCUAGUUUGGGUCAUAGCCAGCCGACUCCCUCUCCUCCCUAUGCUCACGACCCACCGUACGGGACCAGCGCUGGCCAUCUUCACACUGUGCCUAAUACUCGACCCGGUGCCCUAACUGCGAUCAUGAAGCAGCGGCUGAAUUGAGGAAUUGUGUACGGUGGGGAGUUUAUGGUUUUGGUAGCAAACUCUAUAGCAUUUUCUUGUUCCAGCAACAAAAGCACGACUGUAUAUUGAGGACUGUGAUUCGAGAUUGGGCGUCUCGACAUCGGAUUGGUUCGAUUCGAUCUAUAUCGGAG